AAGGGAGUGCAGAGGGGUUAUGCGGCUGACUUGAAA
rnacentral:tRNA from 1 species